rnacentral:rRNA from 1 species
AGCGAACGCUGGCGGCAGGCCUAACACAUGCAAGUCGAGCGCCCAGCAAUGGGAGCGGCAGACGGGAUAGUAACACGUGGGAACGUACCUUUCAGUUCGGAACAACCAAGGGAAACUUUGGCUAAUACCGAAUACGCCCGUAAGGGGAAAGAUUUAUCGCUGAAAGAUCGGCCCGCGUCUGAUUAGCUAGUUGGUGAGGUAAUGGCUCACCAAGGCGACGAUAAGUAGCUGGUCUGAGAGGAUGAUCAGCAUCACUGGGACUGAGACACGGCCCAGACUCCUACGGGAUGCAGCAGUGUGGAAUAUUUGACAGUGGGCGCAAGCCUGAUCCAGCCAUGCCGCGUGAGUGAGGAAGGCCGUAGGGUUGUAAAGCUCUUUCGUCAGGGAAGAUAAUGACGGUACCUGAAGAAGAAGCCCCGGCUAACUUCGUGCCAGCCGCCGCGGUAA